rnacentral:SRP_RNA from 1 species
CAAAACACUAUAAACUAUUAAUGUCGCGCAUCGGAUUAGGCGGGUGCUUCUGUGGCUGGCCUUUCUGUGCAGUGUUGAUGUUUGGGUCUUACGCAAAGCGAAGCUAUGAACCGUGUCAGGUCGGGAACGAAGCAGCACUAAGUAGUCAUUCCUUGUGCCGUAAGGGUGCCUGGCGGAGCUGCCUGAAGGGUAACGCACAGGAGUAUCCACUUAAUCCGAUGUUUUU